rnacentral:rRNA from 1 species
AUUGAACGCUGGCGGCAUGCCUUGCACAUGCAAGUCGAACGGCAGCACGGGUGCUUGCACCUGGUGGCGAGUGGCGAACGGGUGAGUAAUACAUCGGAACAUGUCCUGUAGUGGGGGAUAGCCCGGCGAAAGCCGGAUUAAUACCGCAUACGAUCUACGGAUGAAAGCGGGGGACCUUCGGGCCUCGCGCUAUAGGGUUGGCCGAUGGCUGAUUAGCUAGUUGGUGGGGUAAAGGCCUACCAAGGCGACGAUCAGCAGCUGGUCUGAGAGGACGACCAGCCACACUGGGACUGAGACACGGCCCAGACUCCUACGGGAGGCAGCAGUGGGGAAUUUUGGACAAUGGGCGAAAGCCUGAUCCAGCAAUGCCGCGUGUGUGAAGAAGGCCUUCGGGUUGUAAAGCACUUUUGUCCGGAAAGAAAUCCUUGGCCCUAAUACGGUCGGGGGAUGACGGUACCGGAAGAAUAAGCACCGGCUAACUACGUG